rnacentral:misc_RNA from 1 species
GAAAUGCGAUAAGUAAUGUGAAUUGCAGAAUUCAGUGAAUCAUCGAAUCUUUGGACGCACAUUGCGCCCUCCAGCACUCUGGCGGGCAUGCCUGUUCGAGCGUCAUUUCAACCCUCAGAACCCCUUGCGGGAUCUGGCGUUGGGGAUUGGCAUCCAGCCAGCCCCGAAAUCUAGUGGCGGUCCCUCCGCGACCUCCCCUGUGCAGUAGCGAUACCUCGCAGCGGGACAGCGGUCUGACCACGCCGUAAAACCCCCAACUUCUCAAGGUUGACCUCGAAUCAGGUAGGAAUACCCGCUGAACUUAAGC